AACCUCCGUAAUGUGAGAAAUCGCGACGGGGGGAUCCCAAGUGCCAUUCUUAACGGGAUGGCUUUUCAUUAGUGUAAAGAGCUUUUGGAAUAAGAGCUGGGCAAGACCGGUGCCAGCCGCCGCGGUAACACCGGCAGCUCUAGUGGUAACAAUUUUUAUUGGGCCUAAAGCGUCCGUAGCCGGUUUAAUAAGUCUCUGGUGAAAUCCUGUAGCUUAACUGUGGGAAUUGCUGGAGAUACUAUUAGACUUGAGACCGGGAGAGGUUAGAGGUACUCCCAGGGUAGAGGUGAAAUUCUGUAAUCCUGGGAGGACCGCCUGUUGCGAAGGCGUCUAACUGGAACGGUUCUGACGGUGAGGGACGAAAGUUAGGGGUGCGAACCGGAUUAGAUACCCGGGUAGUCCUAACUGUAAACGAUGCGGACUUGGUGUUGGGGUGGCUUUGAGCUGCUCCAGUGCCGAAGGGAAGCUGUUAAGUCCGCCGCCUGGGAAGUACGGUCGCAAAGACGAAGCUUAAAGGGAUU
rnacentral:rRNA from 1 species